UACGAAGGGGGCUAGCGUUGCUCGGAAUUACUGGGCGUAAAGCGCACGUAGGCGGCUUUCUAAGUCGGGGGUGAAAUCCUGGAGCUCAACUCCAGAACUGCCUUCGAUACUGGAAAGCUCGAGUCCGGGAGAGGUGAGUGGAACUGCGAGUGUAGAGGUGAAAUUCGUAGAUAUUCGCAAGAACACCAGUGGCGAAGCGGCUCACUGGCCCGGUACUGACGCUGAGGUGCGAAAGCGUGGGGAGCAAACAGG
rnacentral:rRNA from 1 species